GCUGCUUUUGGGUGCCGGCACUGCCCGGGCCGGGCUGGGAGCGGAGGAGGAGCGGGAGGGAGAGGAGGGACAGAGGAGGAGGAAAAGGAAAGGGAAAGAGAGAGAGAGGAGCGGGAAGAAGAGGAAGAGGAGGGCCAGAGGAGGAGGAAGAGGAGCAGCGGGAGGAGGAGCCGCAGCACCAACCCCACGCGGUUCCCCCGCUCGGGCCGCGGCUGCCCCGGUUCCGCCCCCUCCGGAAGCCGCAGGAUUUCCCAUUCCCAAACCUUGGCCAGGUGGAGGAGGAGGCUGCAAGGAGGAAGAAGAUGCCCCAGGACACCCAGGCAGGGAAGGAGCUGAGCAUGGAGAGCAGGGAGGACAAAUCCCCACAGCAGAACCUGGUGGCUGAGGCCGUUUGGAGUGGCUCCAGGGCACAGGAAUCCAACGGGGAGGAAAAGUCCCCGAGAUCCCACACAAGGAGGGGCUGCAAACGCAGAUCACGGGGAUCCGAGGAGGAAAGACCAACCUUGGGCUGGGAAGGUGACCACAGGUCAGAGUUGGGGGUCCCUGAGCAGCUUCAGGAUGGGGAGAAGCCCCACAAGUGCUCGGAAUGUGGGAAGAGCUUCAGGUGGAGAUCGUCCCUGAUCAACCAUUGGAGAAUCCACACAGAGGAAGGGCCCUAUGAGUGUGGGCAG